rnacentral:rRNA from 1 species
UAAGACGGAGGAGGCUAGCGUUGUUCGGAAUUACUGGGCGUAAAGCGCGCGCAGGCGGCUUCGCAAGUCAGGGGUGAAAGCCCGGGGCUCAACCUCGGAACUGCCCUUGCGACUGCGAGGCUCGAGGCCGAGAGAGGAGAGUGGAAUUCCCAGUGUAGAGGUGAAAUUCGUAGAUAUUGGGAAGAACACCAGUGGCGAAGGCGGCUCUCUGGCUCGGUACUGACGCUCAUGCGCGAAAGCGUGGGGAGCAAACAGGAUUAGAUACCCUGGUAGUCCACGCUGUAAACGAUGGAUGCUAGACGUUGGGGGGCUUGCCCCUCGGUGUCGCAGCUAACGCGAUAAGCAUCCCGCCUGGGGAGUACGGCCGCAAGGUUA